CGCACAAAGUCCAACAUUUUGUUCCUAUUUCCUCGCAUCCCCACAGUCUGCCAGCGCAGCCCUGACAAAGGGAAGGAAAAACUCCCUUUUAACAGGAAGAAACCUCCAGGAGAACCAGGCUCGGGGAGGAGCAACUAGCUACUACGACUGGUUGGGGUAAGAGGAGGAAGACAGGACAAAAGACAUGCUGUGGAAGAGAGCCAUUAACAGAUUGUGAGGAAGAAAGGGGCUAUGACACCAAUAGAGUAAAUUCACAGACUCCGCCCCCAGCACGGCUCCAAUCAAAGCUGAAGUGAAGCCGUUUCAGAACAUUUUGCUCUACAUAUUUGAGUUGUUUGCCAUGCUUGGAUAUGCUUGUGAAGAUGGAAUAUGGGGGAGAGCAGAAGUGCGUUGAAGUUCCACAGAGGGAUGAAUGAAGGACAUGCAUAUUGUAUUGAAGAAAUAAGUGAUGAGAUGCUGUUAUUUGCAUUUACCAUGUCAGACCUUUUGAUAAACACAAUUCUAAUGAAAGUGAGAACAUGUAUACUGUUACAUCUUUCAGAAAAUGUUUUGAAAU
ensembl:lncRNA